rnacentral:rRNA from 1 species
UGAGGAAUAUUGGUCAAUGGACGAGAGUCUGAACCAGCCAAGUAGCGUGAAGGAUGACUGCCCUAUGGGUUGUAAACUUCUUUUAUAAAGGAAUAAAACGAGGCACGUGUGCCUUUUGCAUGUACUUUAUGAAUAAGGAUCGGCUAACUCCGUGCC